UACGUAGGGUGCGAGCGUUAAUCGGAAUUACUGGGCGUAAAGCGUGCGCAGGCGGUUUGUUAAGUCUGAUGUGAAAGCCCCGGGCUCAACCUGGGAACUGCAUUGGAAACUGGCAAGCUCGAGUUUGGCAGAGGGGGGUGGAAUUCCGCGUGUAGCAGUGAAAUGCGUAGAGAUGCGGAGGAACACCGAUGGCGAAGGCAGCCCCCUGGGCUAAGACUGACGCUCAGGCACGAAAGCGUGGGGAGCAAACAGG
rnacentral:rRNA from 1 species